GACAUACUCUCUCCGUCCGAAAAAACUUGUCCCUCAAAUAAAUGUAUCUAGCACCAAGUUAAUGCAUGCUAGAUACAUCAAUUUGAGGGAUAAGCUUGGGACAAACUUUUUCGGACGGAGGGAGUAGUUU
rfam:Triticum aestivum genome assembly, contig: Triticum_aestivum_CS42_TGACv1_scaffold_457074_5DS